UACGAAGGGGCUAGCGUUGCUCGGAAUCACUGGGCGUAAAGGGUGCGUAGGCGGGUCUUUUAAGUCAGGGGUGAAAUCCUGGAAGCUCCGAACUCCAGAACUGCCUUUGAUACUGAGGAUCUUGAGUUCGGGAGAGGUGAGUGGAACUGCGAGUGUAGAGGUGAAAUUCGUAGAUAUUCGCAAGAACACCAGUGGCGAAGGCGGACUCACUGGCCCG
rnacentral:rRNA from 1 species